rnacentral:rRNA from 1 species
GACGAACGCUGGCGGCGUGCUUAACACAUGCAAGUCGAACGGAGAUUGUAGCAAUACGGUCUCAGUGGCGAACGGGUGAGUAACGCGUUGGUGACCUGCCCCGAAGUGUGGAAUAACAGAUCGAAAGAGCUGCUAAUACCGCAUAAUAUCCAGAGGAUUAGAUGCCUUUGGAUUAAAGGAUUUAUUCGCUUCGGGAGGGGCCUGCGUCCCAUCAGCUAGUUGGUAAGGUAAUGGCUUACCAAGGCGAUGACGGGUAGGGGACCUGAGAGGGUGGCCCCCCACAAUGGAACUGAAACACGGUCCAUACACCUACGGGUGGCAGCAGUAGGGAAUAUUAGUAAUGGGCGAAAGCCUGAACUAGCAACGCCGCGUGUGCGAAGAAGGCCUUCGGGUUGUAAAGCACUUUUGAGAGGAUGAGGAAGGACGGUACUCUCAGAAUAAGUCUCGGCUAACUACGUG